rnacentral:rRNA from 1 species
GGACUACCCGGGUAUCUAAUCCCGUUUGCUCCCCUAGCUUUCGCGCCUCAGCGUCAGAAGAGAUCCAGCAGUGCGCUUUCGCCACCGGCGUUCCUUCCGAUAUCAACGCAUUUCACCGCUCCACCGGAAGUUCCCACUGCCCCUACCUCCCUCGAGCUCGCCAGUAUCCACGGCCAUUUUCCGGUUGAGCCGAAAGAUUUCACCACAGACUUGGCAAGCCGCCUACGCGCCCUUUAAGCCCAGUGAAUCCGAACAACGUUCGCACGGUUCGUCUUACCGCGGCUGCUGGCAC